rnacentral:rRNA from 1 species
GAGCCCGCACAAGCAGUGGAGUAUGUGGUUUAAUUCGACGCAACGCGAAGAACCUUACCGGCGCUUGACAUGCCAUGGAUGGUGUUGUAAUGACACCGGUGCUCCUUCGGGAGAACAUGGACACAGGUGGUGCAUGGUUGUCGUCAGCUCGUGUCGUGAGAUGUUGGGUUAAGUCCCGCAACGAGCGCAACCCCUACGGUUAGUUGCUACGAAAGAGCACUCUAGCCGGACUGCCGUUGACAAAACGGAGGAAGGUGGGGACGACGUCAAAUCAUCAUGCCCCUUACGCGCCGGGCUACACACGUACUACAAUGGCGUUAACAAAGGGAAGCGAGACCGCGAGGUCAAGCAAACCCCGGAAAAGACGCCCCAGUUCGGACUGCAGGCUGCAACCCGCCUGCACGAAGUUGGAAUUGCUAGUAAUCGCGGAUCAGCAUGCCG